rnacentral:lncRNA from 1 species
GACGGGGUUUCACCAUGUUAGCCAGGAUGGUCUCGAUCUCCUGACCUUGUGAUCCACCCACCCUGGCCCCUCAAAGUGCAGGGGAUUACAGGCAUGAGCCACUGUGCCUGGCUGGAGAGACCUCGUUAAGGUAGGAUUGAGAUGAUACCUUGAUUUAUCAAGAAUUGGGAUACAGAAUUGUAGGGAUGACAUGAGGGAUGAGGAAAAUUGAGUACACUUUACAAAUAUUAUGAAUGUAAUGUAUGAUAUAGGUGGUGCCCUAUCGAUGAGGAAAUUGAUCUAUAACUGACUCCAAAAGGUGAGUUA